rnacentral:rRNA from 1 species
UAGUAACGGCGAGUGAAGCGGGAUGAGCUCAAGCUUAAAAUCUCCGUGCAAUUUUUGCGCGGCGAAUUGUAGUCUAUAGAAGCGUGGUCAGUAUGGGCACUUGGGUUAAGUUCCUUGGAAGAGGACAGCAUGGAGGGUGAUACUCCCGUUCGUCCCCAAGUUGCUUGUGCGUACGACCCGUUUUCUUUGAGUCGCGUUGUUUGAGAAUGCAGCGCAAAGUAGGUGGUAAAUUCCAUCUAAAGCUAAAUAUUGGUGCGAGACCGAUAGCAUACAAGUACCGUGAGGGAAAGAUGAAAAGAACUUUGAAAAUAGAGUUAAAGAGUACCUGAAACUGCUGAAAGGUAACCAAAUCGUUUCCAGUGUCUAUAAUCCGUGGUAUAUUUCAUUGGCGAGUGUAUGCGUGCGUGUGCUGUUGCAGUGGCCUUUUUGGCUGCGCUCGGCGUGUGUGUUGUGUGUGCUUGCUGGUGCCCUGUGCUGUGGUGGGACGUCAAGGUCAGUUCGUAUGCUGCGGGAAAUGGCCACUGAGGAGGUAGGGCUUACGCUUGCGUUUGUCUGUUAUAUCUUGGUGGACGAGUAGUCGCGGUUGGGACUGAGGUGCCUACAACGUGCUUUUGAGUGGAUUUGGGUCUCCGUGUGCGCCGUGUGCGGAUAGCUUGCUAUGCGUGUGUGGCUGUGUAUGGAUUGAUGCGAGUCGUAACUUGUAGCCGUUCGGGACGUUGACGAAAUGGAGCGAUUUGACCCGUCUUGAAACACGGACCAAGGAGUCUAACAUAUGUGCAAGUGUUAGGGUGUGGAAACCCCAGCGCGUAAUGAAAGUAAAGGAUAGCGUAAGCUGUCUGAGGUAGGAAAUGCUGCGGACUUCGGUUUGCGGCGUGGCACUAUCGACCGAUCAUGAACCCUCGUGGUGAAAGAUUUGAGUUCGAGCACAUAUGUUGGUACCCGAAAGA